UACAGAGGUCUCAACCGUUGUUCGGAUUCAUUGGGCGUAAAGGGCUCGUAGGCGGUCUGUUGCGUCGGGAGUGAAAACUUACAGCUUAACUGUGAGCGUGCUUUCGAUACGGGCAGACUUGAGGCAUUCAGGGGAGAACGGAAUUCCUGGUGUAGCGGUGAAAUGCGCAGAUAUCAGGAGGAACACCGGUGGCGAAGGCGGGUCUCUGGGCAGUAACCGACGCUGAGGAGCGAAAGCGUGGGGAGCGAACAGG
rnacentral:rRNA from 1 species